CAAUAGCGUACAUUAAAGUUGUUGCAGUUAAAAAGCUCGUAGUUGGAUUUCUGGUGUCGCAGUGCUUCCGCGUGUUUAAUUACAUGUCGAGUUGUGUUUGCGUCGCCAUCUUUUAGCAGCACCCUCCUGGCAUUAGGUUGUUGGGUUGGUAAUGCUAAUCGUUUACUGUGAAGAAAUUAGAGUGUUCAAAGCAGGCUUAUGCCGUUGAAUACGUUAGCAUGGAAUAAUGAGAUAGGACCUUGAUACUAUUUUGUUGGUUUGCGCAUCAAGGUAAUGAUUAAUAGGGGUCAGUUUGGGGGGGUCUACGUUCGUUACGUUUUAACGUUCGUCGAAGGUAGGGUAAGUUAAACUUUUCGGUUAGGUUUAGUUUUUAAAGGUUUAAAACGGGAACCGGUAACCUUACG
rnacentral:rRNA from 1 species